rnacentral:rRNA from 1 species
GACGAACGCUGGCGGCGUGCCUAAUACAUGCAAGUUGAGCGAUGAAGAUUGGUGCUUGCACCAAUUUGAAGAGCAGCGAACGGGUGAGUAACGCGUGGGGAAUCUGCCUUUGAGCGGGGGACAACAUUUGGAAACGAAUGCUAAUACCGCAUAAUAACUUUAAACAUAUGUUUUAAGUUUGAAAGAUGCAAUUGCAUCACUCAAAGAUGAUCCCGCGUUGUAUUAGCUAGUUGGUGAGGUAAAGGCUCACCAAGGCGAUGAUACAUAGCCGACCUGAGAGGGUGAUCGGCCACAUUGGGACUGAGACACGGCCCAAGCUCCUACGGGGAGCAGCAGUAGGGGAUCUUCGACGAAGGACGAAAGUCUGACCGGGCAACGCCGCGUGAGUGAAUAAGGUUUUCGGAUCGUAAAACUCUGUUGGUAGAGAAGAACGUUGGUGAGAGUGGAAAGCUCAUCAAGUGACGGUAACUACUCAGAAAGGUACGGCUAACUACGUG